rnacentral:misc_RNA from 1 species
GCGGAAGUGCUACGUGCAAUUUGUGGUGCCAGCACUGCAGGGGUAGGCGUGCCUUCCUUUCGCAUGGGUUGUGUAAAAAGUACAUUAUUGUUGGACCAAGCGCGAGCCGGGCUUUUUCUUCGCUAUUGGCCGCCACACUGACCUCGGACAUCUAAAACCAUGGCCGGUGUGUCCUUCGCUAACUUUGUGCCGCCUCCGCACUUGCACAAGCCGUUGGCUCCCAUCUGCUGUCCGCGUUUUGUGCCACCUGAAUGCUGCCCGUCUUAUUGCCCAGAGGAGUAUAAACCUGUCUGUGCCACUGACUGCCACCAUCUGCGGACUUUUGCCAACAUUUGUUUCAUGCAUGCUACAAACUGCCUGGAAAAUACGAGAUACCGCAAAGUCUAUGACGGAAAAUGCCCAAACAGCCACCCAAUGCUCCAGUUCCAUGAUAAAGAAAUUGAGUGGAUGUAAAAAUGAAACUUGUAACAUUUUGAAUGAAUAAAGCAUUCUAUAAAUAA